UACGUAGGGUGCGAGCGUUGUCCGGAAUUAUUGGGCGUAAAGAGCUCGUAGGCGGUUUGUCACGUCUGCUGUGAAAUCCCGAGGCUCAACCUCGGGUCUGCAGUGGGUACGGGCAGACUGGAGUGCGGUAGGGGAGAAUGGAAUUCCUGGUGUAGCGGUGGAAUGCGCAGAUAUCAGGAAGAACACCAGCGGCGAAGGCGGCACUCUGGGCCGGAACUGACGCUGAGGAGCGAAAGCGUGGGUAGCAAACAGG
rnacentral:rRNA from 1 species